rnacentral:tRNA from 1 species
CAAAGCAGAGCUGGAUAAAGUGCAGCGUCUCACUUACGUUGAGAAGUUUUAUUGUGCGAGUCAAUAUGCUUUGA